AUGUAUCCCUGUCUUCCUCUCUCUCUCUAUGUCUCACUGUCUUCCUCUCUCUCUGUCUCCCUGUCUUCCUCUCUCUCUCUAUGUCUCACUGUCUUCCUCGCUCUCUCUCUAUGUCUCCCUGUCUUCCUCUCUCUCUCUAUGUCUCCAUGUCUUCCUCUCUCUCUGUCUCCCUGUCUUCCACUCUCUCUCUAUGUCUCCCUGUCUUCCUCUCUCUCUUUAUGUCUCCCUGUCUUCCUCUCUCUCUCUAUGUCUCCCUGCCUUCCUCUCUCUCUCUCUCUCUCUCUAUGUCUCCCUGUCUUUCUCUCUCUAUGUAGACGGUCUGUCUGUCUGUCUGUCUGUCUGUCUGUCUGUCUGUCUGUCUGUCUGUCUGUCUGUCUGUCUGUCUGUCUCUCUAUGUCUCUCUCCCUCUGUCUCACUCCCUCUCUCUCUUUCUCUCUAUGUCUCUCUGCCUCUAUGUCUUUCUCUCUCUCCCUCUAUGUCUCUCUGCCUUCCUCUCUCUAUGUCCCUCUCCCCCCUCUCUCUCUCUUUCCUCAUGUAUGGCUGAGGCUUGAAAGGCCAUUGGUCAGGGACAUAGAUAGAAAGAAGGAUGUGUCUGUUGUAAUUUUCUGUCUUGUUUAGUAUGAAAUGGAAACACCACUCCUGCAACCCAUCAGCUGUCUCAACCCAGACGCAGCUCAAACCUAUGGGAGGUCUCAUCAACCCAAGAUUGCCCCUACCACCCUCACCAAACCACUACUGCGUCAGUUGUUAACUGAGCCAGACACAGGGAUGGAUGUCCACCCCCCACAGUACUGCGACUAUACUGCAAGGCACAGCCAUUUUCUGCCUGGGGCAGACCUAAUGCUCCACCAGCAGACAAAUAGAGAAGACCAAUGACAGAGACAGGCCACAGUGCUCUGUCUGGAGCUGGAGCCUCCAAGGCCUGUGGGUUAAGUAAGUAGCAUACUAAGGUUUGUUGUUGACUCCAGACAUGGUCAAGUGACGUUGGCAGUCGCAGGCCACACACACACACACACACACACACGACUGCCUUCGUCACUUCUUGAGUGUGUGUGUGUGUGUGUGUGUACCUGCGUGUGUGUGUGUGUGUACCUGCGUGUGUGUGUGUGUGUGUGUGUGUACCUGCGUGUGUGCGUGUGUGUGUGUGUGUGUGUGUGUGUGUGUGUGUGUGUGUGUGUGUGUGUGUGUGUGUGUGUGUGUGUGUGUGUGUGUGUGUGUGUGUGUGUGUGUGUGUGUGUGUGUGUACCUGCGUGUGUGUGUGCAUUCCUAUGCGCAGCAGAAAUGUUAAGUGACUGGUGGGAGUACAAAGGCAAACAUUAGUGGAUUAUAGAGAGGAAAGGAUUUGUACCAACCAGAGAAGUCUCCUGUUGCAAUGCCAAUAAAACACACCAACCAGUCCAGGGCAUUUUAUCACCAGAAAACAGACUCUUUAUUUCAUGUAAGCAGAUUUAAGCGUAUCAGUGAGCUGGAGAUUUGUUUAUUUGAAGUUAAGCGAGAUUUGUGGAAAAUUCAUAAUGGAUUUAGAGGUUUUUAAACAGUCACUGAGCUCUGUAGUGCUCUAGGUGCACACACACACACACACACACACACACACACACACACACACACACACACACACACACACACACACACACACACACACACACACACACACACACACACACACACACACACACACACACACACACACACACACACACACACACACACACUCCUUCUCUUCAAUGAACACUACAGGAUUUAUUACAAACCUGUUAAGCUGAAGACAAAACCGUCUGUAAUGUUUCUCCCACCUCCAAGUCUGGAUCAUCUCUAAACAGUCUUGUUCCUAUUCACACCACACACAACAUGGCCUUUACACUUGACACACAUCACCUCUAAACUAACUAUUAUAAUUACAGAGAUGUCUGUAUUAAAAACAGCAUAAUUACAAGAUACACAGUGACUCUGUCUGGUUUUAAUAUUGUCUCUACUUAAAGAGCAUUCAGUCAAAACGACAAUUCUACUGACGUAGAGUUAACAUCUACUUCAUGGGGCGGCAGGUUAGAGUGUAGAGGCGGCAGGGUAGCCUAGUGGUUAGAGUGUAGAGGCGGCAGGGUAGCCUAGUGGUUAGAGUGUAGAGGCGGCAGGGUAGCCUAGUGGUUAGGGUGUAGAGGCGGCAGGGUAGCCUAGUGGUUAGAGUGUAGAGGCGGCAGGGUAGCCUAGUGGUUAGAGUGUAGAGGCGGCAGGGUAGCCUAGUGGUUAGAGUGUAGAGGCGGCAGGGUAGCCUAGUGGUUAGAGUGUAGAGGCGGCAGGGUAGCCUAGUGGUUAGAGUGUAGAGGCGGCAGGGUAGCCUAGUGGUUAGAGUGUAGAGGCGGCAGGGUAGCCUAGUGGUUAGAGUGUAGAGGCGGCAGUGUAGCAUAGUGGUUUGAGUGUAGAGGCGGCAGGGUAGCCUAGUGGUUAGAGUGUAGAGGCGGCAGGGUAGCCUAGUGGUUAGAGUGUAGAGGCGGCAGGGUAGCCUAGUGGUUAGAGUGUAGAGGCGGCAGGGUAGCCUAAUGGUUAGAGCGUUGGCCGUGGUAUACUGGCCAUAUAUCACAAACCCCCGAGGCACCUUAUUACUAUUAUCAUACCCGUGGUAUACAACGGCUGUCAGCCAAUCAGCAUUCAGGGCUCAAACCAGCCAGUUUAUAAUACAGGAUAAUGUUAUAGAUAGUAUACCAGUGGAGGAUAGUAGUGUGAUAUUGUUUUUACUUGAGGUCUGUAAAUACAUGUCAACACCCACCUUACAUCACCUGACCACUCACUCACAUGCAAUCCUGACAGACACUUUUUUGUUAACAUCCAUCACAAGAGAAACACAUGCAUGCUUGUGUGUGUGUGUGUGUCAUCCAUCGCAAUAACAAUACUGCUCUUUAGUGAACCAUGGAUCCUAAUGAUUAAGUUUGAAUAAUUACAGUUAUUGCAUAUCAUAACUAGAGUUGCAAAAGGUCGGCAACUUUCCGCUAAAUUUCCAGAAUUUUUCAGUGGGAAGUUAAGCCCGGGAAUUUGGGGAAUUUUGCUUAAAUUCAUCAAAAAAGUUACCUUAUAACAGUGAACAUUUUGUGGGAUACACAUAAGGCAAUUCUAGGUCUUGUGGCAUAUUUUGGUUAAACUAUCCCCAAUUCAAUAGAAUUGCAACCCUCUGCAUGCACAGUGCAUUCUUCCAUCACAUGAGCAGUGCACUCUUCCAUCACAUGUACACAGCUGAUUCUCAAGAUCUUCCACACUAAUGAGAUGCUAUUGAGCCCACUACUACACUGUCUGAGUGAUGGAGUCCAGGUGAGUGUCAUUAUGUGCUGAUGCGUGUAACGAUGGUGACAGGUGUGCGCCUGGUGCCCUAGAGGACGGAGAGGAAGCACACGUGACAACUACAUGCUUUCUAGUAAGUUUUGAUUAUAAUACUGGGUGGGGUGAAUAUAUUCUAUAUGACAUACAUAAUUUGUUGUUAACUAGUAAAUAGUAGCCUACAGCGACGUGUAUUUAAAUAAUUUCUAACUUGUUAACAAUUUCUGCUAGUUAGUUUUUGCUACCAUGUGGGUUUUAGCUUGUUUGAGCCUGCUAACUGAUGAGUGUUAAUUCACCUGUUUCCAUACAUGUUUCAUUUUUAAACAUGUAUCUUACAAAGGAGUUGUUUAAUCUAAAUGCUUAAUAAUUCAUCUGUACAUGGAAUUCUAUUUGUUUUUUUAACUCAUUUUUUUCUCAUCUUUACAGGAAAAUGCAGCGGACACUGUCUGAUGUGUGGAGACAUCUCACUGCAGCUAAUGUAGAAGGAAAAGCUGUGUACAUUUGCAAAUACUGUUUCAAAACAUAUGUGAAGAAGCAACAAAGAUGCAGAAUCAUCUGGCCAAGCGCAUACAAUUCCCUCAGCGCUCACAACAAGCAACCUCUGACAGAAGUCACUCUACUUCUAUUCAAGGUGAAAAUGAUGAAUCCGACACCUUAUCGAUAGCAACAGCUCAUGGUCCUCCUGGAAUCAGUUUUUUUUUUGACUCAAUGGAGGAACAUAGUCAGAAAAAUGCUGAUGAAUGUCUUGCUGCUCGAGCCGUGUAUGCAACUGGUUCACCUCUGAUGCUCACAGGCAAUGUGUACUGGAAGAGAUUAUCUGAAUGUUAUUCGCCCAGCAUACAACCCUCCAACCAGACAUGCAUUAUCUACUCAUUUGCUGGAUGCAGAGUUCAACAGAGUUCAAGUGAAGGUCAAGCAAAUCAUAGAGAAAGCAGACUGUAUUGCAAUCAUCUCUGAUGGGUGGCCGAAAGCUCGUGGGCAAGGAAUAAUUAACUACACCAUCUCCACCCCUCAACCAGUAUUCUACAAGAGCACAGACACAAGGGACAACAGACACACCGGUCUCUACAUUGCAGAUAAGCUGAAUGCAGUCAUCAAUGACCUUGGACCACAGAAGUUAUUUGCACUAGUGACAGACAAUGCUGCGAACAUGAAGGCUGGUUGGUCUAAAGUGGAGGAGUCCUACCCUCACAUCACACCCAUUGGCUGUGCUGCUCAUGCAUUAUAUCUGCUCCUCAAGGACAUCAUGGCACUAAAAACAAUGGAUACACUCUACAAGAGAGUCAAGGAAAUUGUUAUGUAUGUGAAGGGUCAUCAAGUUAUUGCAGCAAUCUACCUCACCAAGCAAAGUGAGAAGAAUAAGAGCACCACAUUGAAGCUGCCCAGCAACACCCGUUGGGGUGGUGUUGUCAUCAGUCUCCUGUAGGGGAAGGAGUCGCACCAAGUAAUGGCCAUAUUACAGUCUGCCGAUAUGGACAGCCCCAUCAAGAGGAUCCUCCUGGUUGAUGUAUUUUGGGAGAGAGUGGUAAGCACCCUGAAACCUCUGAAACCUAUAGAAGUAGCCAUUGCACGGAUUGAGGGAGGCAAUGCCAUCCUGUCUGAUGUUCAGACUCUGCUUGCAGAUGUAAGAGAAGAAAUCCGUACUGCCCUGCCCACUUCACUGUUGCUCCAAACAGAGGAAACUGCAGUUCUGAAAUACAUCAAAAAGCGUGAAGACUUCAACCUGAGCCCAUACACGCCGCAGCGUUCAUGUUGGACCCCAAGUAUACUGGCAAGAGCAUCCUGUCUGGUGCAGAGAUCAACAAGGCCUAUGGUGUCAUCUCUACCGUGUCUCGCCACCUUGGCCUGGAUGAGGGCAAGGUUCUUGGCAGUCUGGCGAAGUACACUUCCAAGCAAGGGCUUUGGGAUGGAGAUGCAAUAUGGCAGUCGUGCCAACAUAUCUCAUCCGCCACCUGGAGGAAGGGACUUUGUGGAUCUGAGGCUCUUGUUGCCUCCAUUAUCCUCCAAAUCCAACCAACAUUAGCCGACUCAUAGCGCAACUGGUCCUUGUUUGGGAACACACACCAAAGCACGCAACAGGCUGAACAAUACAAGGGUUGAAAAAUUGGUGGCCAUUGGACAAUUUUGUGGCUUUUUGAGCCUGGCAACAAGCCAUCCUCAACAAGGAAGAUGAGGCCUCAGAGUGAUGUUCAAGAGGUGGACAUUGAGGAGGUCCAGGGAGAAGACAUGGAAGCCUGAGAGGAAGACAACCAAAGCUUUAGUUUCUAGACCAUCAUAUUGUAUGUUGAAAACGUUUUUGGGAGAUUCGAUAGAUCAUUGGGGAUCAUUCAAUAUUCCCUUUCUUUUGUUGGUCAGUGAAAUCAUCCCAUGUGAAGAGUCAUCUCAUUUAAUUAAAGUUCAAUUCGUAACAAUUUAUUUUAUUUAGAAGAAUUUAAUCAUUUGCAAUUUUGCCUACUUAUGAUAAGUUAAAAGGUUUAUGUUUCUGCCUCCAUAUGAUAUGGUAAAUAUAUCCAAUGCAAAAAACAUGACAUUUAAAUGGUAUUAAUAUUAAUUCCCAUAUAUUACCGUUAAAUCUCACGGAAAGUUUCCACCUCUGAAUAUUCCCCAAAAUGUGCAACCUUAAUCAUAACACCUAAAGUAUGUUCCUGAAUUCAACCUAGAGCAGGUGGGAUGAACAUGUACACACAGUAUUGAUCUGAUCUGGCCUCUGAUGUUCAGGGAAGUUCAAGGAAGAAGGAGAAGGGCGGCCAUUUUGACUCCCCGUUUCCCCACGGUUCCACCUCGCAGAGAAGGAGACAGGAGAGAGAGACAAGAGGAAGGAGCAGACAGAUGUCAGUGAAGGAUGAUACGUGUGACAGAGGCUAUCUGAAGACAGUAGAGAAGAGGGAGGAAGGUAGGUAGUGUUCAACAAGGAAAUGUACAGAAUGCAGUUUCUGAAAAAAACCUUUCCAGACUCUGAUCAACUAAAGUACAACUGCUCUACUCAGAUUUGAUUCUAUUUCAGGGUCUAUAUUCUGAUAUACAGUCUGUAUUAGCCAGUCUGUUAAUGCUAUCACGCCAACUACUUGUCACUCAUUGAGUACGUUUACAUGCACAGUAAUAAUUCCAUAUGAACUGAUUAUGGCAGUAGACAGAUUAUGAAAUAGUCAUGUAAACACCUUCCUCUGCUUAUCUUAAUUGGCGUGAGGUCAAAAUCAAAGUAAGCAUACGGCGAUUUAAACACCUGGUUGUCUGAGCAACGGUUUAAAUGAUUAGGACAUGUAAACACCUUAAUCGACGUUCCAGCAGUGUAAUUGAUUUGUGUAUGUGCCAGCACCAGCCGAGAGCCUCCCUCUUUAGUGAGAAGGAAGUGAGUUCAGAACAACUGAAUGCAUGUGUCUUAAAAGUAGCUUUCACACACCAACUUUAUAUGUCCGAAAUCAGAAUCAAAUAUGCUUUCCAGAAAUAACAUCUUCAUUGUGGUGGAACAUUUAUUUUCAGAUUGCCAUCAGGUGGUCUGAUUUCAGAUGUGUCCAUGUAAACAGGUUUAUUAGGGAAAUUGUUCUUCUUGCAAAGCUUGUAAAAAUGUUUUAUCUAACUAUUAUAUUAAUCUGACUAUCCACAAUAAUCACAUUAUUGAGUGCAUGUAGCUGCACUCAUUGUCAUUCGGCUUGACAAUUUGCAACCCAUUAUUUGUAUUUCUACUUUGCACAUUCUUCCACUGCAAAUCUACCAUUCCAGUGUUUUACUUGCUAUAUUGUAUUUACUUCGCCACCAUGGCCUUUUUUUUUGCCUUUACCUCCCUUCUCACCUCAUUUGCUCACAUUGUAUAUAGACUUGUUUAUACUGUAUUAUUGACUGUAUGUUUGUUUUACUCCAUGUGUAACUCUGUGUCGUUGUAUCUGUCAAACUGCUUUGCUUUAUCUUGGUCAGGUCGCAUUUGUAAAUGAGAACUUGUUCUCAACUAGCCUACCUGGUUAAAUAAAGGUGUUCUCAACUAGCCUACCUGGUUAAAUAAAGGUGUUCUCAACUAGCCUACCUGGUUAAAUAAAGGUGUUCUCAACUAGCCUACCUGGUUAAAUAAAGGUGUUCUCAACUAGCCUACCUGGUUAAAUAAAGGUGUUCUCAACUAGCCUACCUGGUUAAAUAAAGGUGUUCUCAACUAGCCUACCUGGUUAAAUAAAGGUGUUCUCAACUAGCCUACCUGGUUAAAUAAAGGUGUUCUCAACUAGCCUACCUGGUUAAAUAAAGGUGUUCUCAACUAGCCUACCUGGUUAAAUAAAGGUGUUCUCAACUAGCCUACCUGGUUAAAUAAAGGUGUUCUCAACUAGCCUACCUGGUUAAAUAAAGGUGUUCUCUACUAGCCUACCUGGUUAAAUAAAGGUGUUCUCAACGAGCCUACCUGGUUAAAUAAAGGUG